rnacentral:tRNA from 1 species
GGCUCGGCCUGGAGGGGCGGGGUGGCGCGCGCGGACUCCCGUUCCGCGGCGGGUCGUUCGGUGUGGACGACGGUCCGC